UCAUUGGGAAGGGUUUAUGAUGGGGAUGGUGGAGUACAACAGUGAGACAAACACUGAAGUACUUCAUGGAAAAUAUAUUCUGCAUUAGCUAUUGGAAAAACACUCCAAUAUGGUUAAUGAACCACAACAUUUUAUUUAUGGGAGAAUAUCAAAAGAGACUUAUAAACCAUGAGCCCUUGUAAGAAUGUGUCUCCAACUCACAUUAUUACAGACAGUGAUAUUCUCCUACAAAUAAUUCGAAGAUUUUUCUAAUAACUUCUUCGUAGUUUUGGACAUUUAUGCCCAAGACAAACGACACAAGUUACUAGUCUGUGACACACAGCAAUGGUUUUGGGCAAUUUGUCAAAAAUCGUUUAUGCGUGUGUAACUUGUUGGUACAAAGAAAGACCAGCAAAUGCAAAUGGUUGAAAUGCCAUCCAGAACUCUCUACCCUUCUCCGAAUGCAACGAGUCCAGACAAAGUAAAGACGUCUUUUCUCAGAAGCAGUUUUUUUGGAGACGUCACUUCCUCUUCCUCUUAUCAGCACAAACUAGAGAUAUUUCUCAGAUCAGUAGUCUUCUUCAACUAGUAUAUCUAUCCUACAAAUUGAAGAACACGCAACCUCCAUAUCAACCAAUAUCCAUUCAUGUCUUCACUGCAACCCAUGGGAGAUGCUCCGAGAAGAAUCGGACUGCAGAGUGGCAUCACAAGACAAGGUCAGGGAAGCUGCAGCUCCUUGUAUUGCUGUUCAUACUGUUUUAAGCAGCAUGGAAUGGGCAGCCGGCAGAAAAUUGAAGGAUUC